GACGAACGCUGGCGGCGUGCUUAACACAUGCAAGUCGAACGGAAAGGCCCUGCUUUUGUGGGGUGCUCGAGUGGCGAACGGGUGUGUAACACGUGAGUAACCUGCCCUUGACUUUGGGAUAACUUCAGGAAACUGGGGCUAAUACCGGAUAGGAGCUCCUGCUGCAUGGUGGGGGUUGGAAAGUUUCGGCGGUUGGGGAUGGACUCGCGGCUUAUCAGCUUGUUGGUGGGGUAGUGGCUUACCAAGGCUUUGACGGGUAGCCGGCCUGAGAGGGUGACCGGCCACAUUGGGACUGAGAUACGGCCCAGACUCCUACGGGAGGCAGCAGUGGGGAAUAUUGCACAAUGGGCGGAAGCCUGAUGCAGCAACGCCGCGUGAGGGAUGACGGCCUUCGGGUUGUAAACCGCUUUCGCCAGUGAAGAAGCGAGAGUGACGGUAAUGGGUAAAGAAGCACCGGCUAACUACGUG
rnacentral:rRNA from 1 species